CAAUAGCGUAUAUUAAAGUUGUUGCAGUUAAAAAGCUCGUAGUUGGAUUUCGGGGCAGCCUGGCUGGUCCGCCGCAAGGCGAGUACUGGUCGGCCGCCCUUCCUCUCGAAAGCCCCGACUGCUCUUCGUUGCAGUGGUCGGGUAGUUCGGGACGUUUACUUUGAAAAAAUUAGAGUGUUCAAGGCAGGCCUACGCCUGAAUACAUUAGCAUGGAAUAAUGGAAGAGGACCUCGGUCCUAUCUUGUUGGUUUCCAGGGCCGAAGUAAUGAUUAAGAGGGACAGUUGGGGGCAUUCGUAUUUAAUUGUCAGAGGUGAAAUUCUCGGAUUUAUGAAAGACGAACAACUGCGAAAGCAUUUGCCAAGGAUGUUUUCAUUAA
rnacentral:rRNA from 1 species